GUUCGUCCUUCUUCUCCAUUGGACGCCAUCUUGGAACGGUGUUUUUCUAGUUUGGCGUAGUAUUCAAGGUUUUAUUGGUUUCUAGGGAUAUAAAAUGCCCGUUAACGUACAUCCAGCUAUUAGAUUCUCGAGAUAUGCUGCUCUUUUUAUUGGAGUUGCAUAUGGAUAUAGAAGAAAUGAAUAUUUGAAGCCUAAAGCAGCUCACGACAGAGAAGUAGAAGCAUUAAGAGCAAAAGAAAAGGCUCUGUUAGAAGAAGCAAAGAAGGCUGCUGCAGCAAAAGAGCCAUUGUUUUGAAUUAUGUGUUGAUCGCCAAUCAUACAGUGAAUUUUUGGAGAAUAUUUAAAGGGAGUGCUUUACUAUAUGAUGUUAACAAAGAACCUGAGAAUGUGAUAUUGUACAUGUAAUUACAUUGAACUCUUUGUCACUAUACUUAUUAAAAAUAAUUUUUUAAAAACUU